rnacentral:rRNA from 1 species
UACGUAGGGUGCAAGCGUUGUCCGGAUUCAUUGGGCGUAAAGAGCUCGUAGGCGGUUCGAUAAGUCGGGUGUGAAACCUCCAGGCUCAACCUGGAGACGCCACCCGAUACUGUCGUGACUAGAGUCCAGUAGGGGAGCGUGGAAUUCCUGGUGUAGCGGUGAAAUGCGCAGAUAUCAGGAGGAACACCGGUGGCGAAGGCGGAUCUCUGGGCCUUACCUGACGCUGAGGCGCGAAAGCUAGGGGAGCGAACAGG